GUGGGGAAUAUUGCACAAUGGGCGCAAGCCUGAUGCAGCGACGCCGCGUGAGGGAUGACGGCCUUCGGGUUGUAAACCUCUGUUAGCAGGGAAGAAGAGAGAUUGACGGUACCUGCAGAGAAAGCGCCGGCUAACUACGUGCCAGCAGCCGCGGUAAUACGUAGGGCGCGAGCGUUGUCCGGAAUUAUUGGGCGUAAAGAGCUUGUAGGCGGUUUGUCGCGUCUGCUGUGAAAGGCCGGAGCUUAACUCCGUGUAUUGCAGUGGGUACGGGCAGACUAGAGUGCAGUAGGGGAGACUGGAAUUCCUGGUGUAGCGGUGGAAUGCGCAGAUAUCAGGAGGAACACCGAUGGCGAAGGCAGGUCUCUGGGCUGUAACUGACGCUGAGAAGCGAAAGCAUGGGGAGCGAACAGGA
rnacentral:rRNA from 1 species